UACAGAGGGUGCAAGCGUUGUUCGGAAUUAUUGGGCGUAAAGGGCGCGUAGGCGGUUUGUUAAGUCGGUCGUGAAAGCCCGGGGCUCAACCCCGGAGGGUCGACCGAUACUGGCAGACUAGAGUACAGAAGAGGUAGCUGGAAUUCCCGGUGUAGCGGUGAAAUUCGUAGAUAUUCGCAAGAACACCAGUGGCGAAGGCGGCUCACUGGCCCGGUACUGACGCUGAGGUGCGAAAGCGUGGGGAGCAACAGGG
rnacentral:rRNA from 1 species